ACAACGGUCAUUAUUGUGUACUGGUGACUGUGUUAGAAAUAAUUGGAGCCUGGCUCGUUGGAUUUUUCUUAAAGCGACGCUACACAUUGACGUAAUGACGAUUACGAAUCUCUCCAAAUAUAAAUGUGAUGUAUUAUAUCGUAUUAUAUUUGCAGCCGGGCUCUCAUUUAUUGUUGUGAGAGUAAAGUGAGGGUUUUAAAAGCUAAUCUUGCAAAGAUUAGCACCAAGGUCUUGAAUAAUGAGUGCCAUGCCUAACUGGCACUGAGUAAUCAGUGAUUUCUUGAUUCAUAUAUGUCGGGCUCCAUCUUGAACCUCUUAAACACAAGUAGAUGACAAGUAGGUUAGUUUGAGGUUAUUUUGGGGAGUGUUUGUGAUUUCACCUGUCUCGUUCGGAGGCAUCGAGCAGUUUUCAACACUCUAAUAUUCCAGAACGAAAACGAAAAAAAAUUCGUUGCAUCUAUUUUUUAACAGUGGAAAUCCAAUCCAAAAAUCCGUCACCAGUAUCAUCAAAAAGUACAUGUCAAGAGAAUUAGCGGUUAACGGUGUUCUUCCAAAUCACGGCAGAGCUAUAAAGAGAAUAAAAAAUAAAUUACUUUUCAAAGACUUUUACAUGUACUUUUGUAUUCUCGGCAACCGAAAGAUGAGGCUGGCGACGAAUUAUCCGGUUCAGAAAUAAGAUU